GACUUCGUAGCUCAGUUGGUAGAGCAUUGAACUAGAAUCCCAAAGGUCGGGAGUUCGAUUCCCACCGUGGUCA
rnacentral:tRNA from 1 species